UACAGAGGGUGCGAACGUUGCUCGGAAUUACUGGGCGUAAAGCGCAUGUAGGCGGAUCCAUAAGUCGGGCGUGAAAUCCCCCAGGCUCAACCUGGGAACUGCGCUCGAAACUGUGGGUCUUGAGUGUCGGAGAGGAUGGCGGAAUUCCUGGUGUAGAGGUGAAAUUCGUAGAUAUCAGGAGGAACACCGGUGGCGAAGGCGGGUCUCUGGGCCGAAACUGACGCUGAGGAGCGAAAGCGUGGGGAGCAAAAGGG
rnacentral:rRNA from 1 species